CACAGCCGUGGUUCUCACAGCCUCCUGCUGUUUCAAUACCAUCUACUGCUCCCACAGGAUAUGCACAGCAGCCAUUGUUUCCAGUGCAAAAUGUGAGGCCACCUCUGCCCUCAGCUACAUCGCCUGCUCUUCAACUUUCCCAAGUAGCUCCUCCAGGAUUGCCCUCAUCCACACCACCUAUUCCUGUAUCACAACCAUUAUUUCCUGUCAUAAGCAAUAACUUGCCUCAAAGUUCACCAUUUUCUACUCAUUUACCUACACCAAAUAUUCCGUCAAGCACCCUUGGAGAGGUUAA
rnacentral:lncRNA from 1 species